AUCCUUUUGUAGUUCACAAGCAUGAUGAUUGGGUUUUCACACAUAUGUGUGAAAUGUGCCUCCCUCAAUUCUUGUUACUACAUUGGCACAUUACUCAUCUGACA
rnacentral:snoRNA from 1 species